rnacentral:rRNA from 1 species
UACGUAGGGUGCAAGCGUUAAUCGGAAUUACUGGGCGUAAAGCGUGCGCAGGCGGCUUUGCAAGACAGAUGUGAAAUCCCCGGGCUCAACCUGGGAACUGCAUUUGUGACUGCAUGGCUGGAGUGCGGCAGAGGGGGAUGGAAUUCCGCGUGUAGCAGUGAAAUGCGUAGAUAUGCGGAGGAACACCGAUGGCGAAGGCAAUCCCCUGGGCCUGCAC